CAUCCAUCAUCUUAUACAGGUAAACGGAAAGAGAACGGAAAAUCGGACUCACUUCCUCGACAUCUUAUCUUUUGCCUGUGAAUAUACCGCUUGCGACACGUACAGUUCAAUCCUCGUUCUCUUUAAAUUUCCGAUCCGCCUCUCUCUCAACCAAUUGAGCCAUUCAAUCAGGCGACCCAGAACAUUCAAGCAAAAAAACUGCCCGUUAUAUAGCUUCAAUAAUACAAUACAACACCUCAAUUGCAAAACAGGGGAACGUACUACACCGCCACAAGCCGCUGGCGGAAAAGUCCCUCUCUAUCUACCCAAGCGGUCCCCAAAAGCGAAAGCCAACCCCUAAUUAUCUCCUCAAUAUCCAAUAAAAAGGGAAUAAAGAAACCAAACAAAAAGGGCCUACAAGAACAAAAAAUGUCCAUUCCCCUCCACACCAUAACCAGCCUCCGCACGACCUUCUCCCCCUUCAGCCGCCUCUCAAAACCCUGCCGCCUCUUCGUCUCCCUCCUCCAAAACCCUGCGACCGCCUCACCCGCCUCCCCUUCACACAUCAAAAUCGACAUCACGCACCUACCACGCGACUCCAAGCAGCUGCCGGAGAUGACGGUAGGGUUUAAGGGGG
rnacentral:sRNA from 1 species